rnacentral:rRNA from 1 species
AUUGAACGCUGGCGACAUGCCUUACACAUGCAAGUCGAACGGCAGCACGGGUGCUUGCACCUGGUGGCGAGUGGCGAACGGGUGAGUAAUACAUCGGAACAUGUCCUGUAGUGGGGGAUAGCCCGGCGAAAGCCGGAUUAAUACCGCAUACGAUCUACGGAUGAAAGCGGGGGACCUUCGGGCCUCGCGCUAUAGGGUUGGCUGAUGGCUGAUUAGCUAGUUGGUGGGGUAAAGGCCUACCAAGGCGACGAUCAGUAGCUGGUCUGAGAGGACGACCAGUCACACUGGGACUGAGACACGGCCCAGACUCCUACGGGAGGCAGCAGUGGGGAAUUUUGGACAAUGGGCGAAAGCCUGAUCCAGCAAUGCCGCGUGUGUGAAGAAGGCCUUCGGGUUGUAAAGCACUUUUGUCCGGAAAGAAAUCCUUGGCCCUAAUACGGUCGGGGGAUGACGGUACCGGAAGAAUAAGCACCGGCUAACUACGUG